rnacentral:piRNA from 1 species
UGCUUUCUGGGACCCGAUGUUCUGAGGAAGC